UUCCAACUCGUCAAUAAAAUCUGAGCACCAGGAACAAAGCUCACGUAAAAAUCUCGAAAAUGCGAAAUGUAUUCCAGUCUACGAAUUCAACGGUGUGGGUUGUCUGUUAUGCAGAGAAUGCGACGCAUCAGGAUUUCACAGGAUUUGAAAACGGGAUCCAGGAUACCCUAUUACCCUGCCGAUGGAGGCGACCGGGAAUUAAAAAACAGAACACUAAAGUAAUUGUGCCCCAUGAAGACGGAUCAAAAUAUUUAACAAACGCCGAUUUGGUGCCAAAAACUACCUGAAGGUAUUGUUGAUUGUCGGUACAGUGCAGCUAAACCACGAUAUCAAAUGAAUCGAUACGUGAUCCCUGCUUAUCCCGUCAAUUUAUAAAAAUGUCCAGUCCUAAAAUCCGUGUUCGUCAAAAUUUUUGUGUACAUAAGGAGUUACUUAUACGAAUAAUAUAAGGAAAACAUGUAGAACCUUUUUAAACAUUAUCGUUAACAAUAAAAAUAUAUGCUGUUGCUGUUUA